UACAGAGGUCUCAAGCGUUGUUCGGAUUCAUUGGGCGUAAAGGGUGUGUAGGUGGCGCCGUAAGUCGGGUGUGAAAUCCCUCGGCUUAACCGAGGAACUGCGUCCGAUACUGAAAGGCUUGAAUCCGGGAGAGGGAUGUGGAAGUUCCAGGUGUAGCGGUGAAAUGCGUAGAUAUCUGGAGGAACACCGGUGGCGAAGGCGGCAUCCUGGACCGGCAUUGACGCUGAGGCGCGAAAGCUAGGGGAGCAAACGGGG
rnacentral:rRNA from 1 species